rnacentral:misc_RNA from 1 species
UCCCCGUUGCCGGGGCAGUCUGAAUAGAAAAAUUCAACUAUUCAUAAGGGUUGCGCUCGUUGAAGGACUUAACCUAACAUCUCACGACACGAGCUGACGACGGCCAUGCAUCACUGUCACUGAGUUCCGGCUUUCAACACACAAUCCCGUACGAUUAUGUACUCAAAGCCGGCACUCACUGCUUUCACAGUAAUUCUCAGGAUGUCAAACCCUGGUAAGGUUCUUCGCUUACCAUCGAAUUAAACAACACGCUCCACCGCUUGUGCGGGUCCCCGUCAAUUCCUUUAUGUUUUAAGCUUGCGCUCGUACUCCACAGGCGGGAUGCUUAACGCGUUAGCUUCGCUACAAACCGGGUCGAUACGGCUUACAGCUAGCAUCCAUAGUUUACGGCGUGGACUAC